rnacentral:rRNA from 1 species
CUUACAUGCAGUCGAGCGGUAACAGAAAGUAGCUUGCUACUUUGCUGACGAGCGGCGGACGGGUGAGUAAUGCUUGGGAACAUGCCUUGAGGUGGGGGACAACAGUUGGAAACGACUGCUAAUACCGCAUAAUGUCUACGGACCAAAGGGGGCUUCGGCUCUCGCCUUUAGAUUGGCCCAAGUGGGAUUAGCUAGUUGGUGAGGUAAUGGCUCACCAAGGCNACGAUCCCUAGCUGGUUUGAGAGGAUGAUCAGCCACACUGGNACUGAGACACGGNCCAGACUCCUACGGGAGGCAGCAGUGGGGAAUAUUGCACAAUGGGCGCAAGCCUGAUGCAGCCAUGCCGCGUGUGUGAAGAAGGCCUUCGGGUUGUAAAGCACUUUCAGUCAGGAGGAAAGGUUANUAGUUAAUACCNGCUAGCUGUGACGUUACUGACAGAAGAAGCACCGGCUAACUCCGUGCCAGCAGCCGCGGUAAUACGGAGGGUGCGAGCGUUAAUCGGAAUUACUGGGCGUAAAGCGUACGCAGGCGGUUUGUUAAGCGAGAUGUGAAAGCCCCGGGCUCAACCUGGGAACUGCAUUUCGAACUGGCAAACUANAGUGUGAUAGAGGGUGGUANAAUUUCANGUGUAGCGGUGAAAUGCNUAAANAUCUGAANGAAUACCGAUGGCNAANGCAGCCACCUGGGUCAACACUGACNCUCAUGUACNAAANCGUGGGGAGCNAACAGGAUUAGAU